rnacentral:rRNA from 1 species
UACGUAGGGGGCGAGCGUUGUCCGGAGUUACUGGGCGUAAAGCGCACGCAGGCGGUCUGUUAAGUUUGGCGUGACAGUUGGUGGCUUAACUGCCAAAGUGCUUCGAAAACUGACAGACUUGAGGGCUUCAGAGGGACACGGAAUUCCGGGUGGAGUGGUGAAAUGCGUAGAGAUCCGGAGGAACACCAGUGGCGAAGGCGAGUCUCUGGACAUUUCCUGACGCUGAGGCACGAAAGCCAGGGGAGCAAACGGG